ACAGGCCGUAGAAACGAAACUGAAACUGUUUGAGCAGCAUAUUCCAGAAGUCUUGAGGCUUUCUGAGUGUAGCCUUCAUUGACUUGAGAUCUACCAUACCAUUCUCUCACUAGAAGGGAAAACCUAUAAAUGGCAGCAGGCUGUAAAAGAGAUCCAGUUUGUUAAUAUUUUAAUGAAGUUCCUCUACCUGUGGAUAAGACAGGCAUGAAUGCAAAAUGCCAACAGUGCAACAAAGAAAUGCAAGGCCUGAUUGCCCGAAUGAAACAUCAUAAGAAGUGUUACUUCUCAGGAGGAAGCUGUGUUGAAGAUGAUGAAAGGAACAUGUCUGAACACGCAGGAUCUUCAGCUAUAAUCUUCCAUUAGGCUUCCUUUACAAAAACUUUAAGCAUGGACUUUCGUGGUCGGCCUUGGAGCAAGGAACCCUCUGCCCACCGAACAGGUGCAACAAGGCUAGUAGGCACCAACGCUUUUCUAUCCACUUCAACCCUACCCUCGUGGGACAGCCUCCCGAUGGACCUAAUGGACUGAAAUCACAGGCAGGUCACCAACUACUGAGGUCAGCCCUUUGUGGCUCCCCACGUCCCAACCCCAGCAGGACUUCUGAGCGCGGCGCACUCAGCUCUCGUCUCGCCACUUCACAGACACCGAGAAGAAGCCAAGCAACUGAGACUAAACUUUCAUUGGGCGCCAGAAAACUCGGGGCAAUCCUGGGGGGCGGGGAGGCUGGGAUUUCUCCCUGAGCCCAGACCCCCGCUCACCGCCCCCUGCAAUGCUUCCAGACAGGGGAGCGGGGGAAUGGCGCACUCCUUCCGCACAUCCCUCCUGACAGCCGAGCCUCUGCCCACGAGCCACAGGCCCCGGAGUCAUCGGCCUCCUGCCGCGGGGGCACAACAGCCAGGCCCGGGUUGAGACACGAGGAGGGGCAACAACAGCAGCAGCCUCGCGGGUCGCAGGCGGAGAGCGGGCUCAGCAGACAGGGGCGAGAGAAGGGGCCUGCGCGGGGAGCUCCGGGCGGGCGGGGAGCAAGGAGGGGACGGGCCCGGCGCUCACCUGAAGUCUUUGUCGCUGGAUGUCAUUUUCUCCAGCAGGUUGGAGAUGUGAUUGUUACAUGCUCUCCGACCAUGUUGCCACGAUGGACAAAAACAACCCAGCAUGCCAGGGGAAAGGAGCAGCAGGACACCUGGCAAGGGUGUCUUUGCUGGAGCAAAGGGAGUCUUUGCUGGAGCAGCAUGUAGCUGCCUCUCAGAGGUCAGCAGAAGAGGGGAAACAUGUUUUUUCCCUGCACCAGAUGUAGAUAUGGCCUGUGCCCUUAGCACACUAGUCUUGAACACUUUGUAAAACUGGUUUUAACAUCAUUUAACAUCUCCGUAUGUUGGCCUCAGUAACUCAUUAGUUUUAAAGUCAGGGCACUGCUUAAAAUAUUGUUUAAUACUGCUCCAGGAAACAUAAGCCAUUGUGGAGAGACAGGUUUCAGAGGAACAGCCGUGUUAGUCUGUAUUCGCAAAAAGAAAAGGAGUACUUG